GGACACGCUGGAGGUCACGUGACCGGGGCAUUGACACGUCACCACAUCCAGGGCGGAAGCUCCAGGCUCCCCAGGACGCUGCACACCUUCCCACACGUGGGUCCUCCUCACCAUAAAGUAUCCAUAGGGCUAAAGCGGGACGCACAAGCGGCCACUGUUUUUCCAUCCAAAGAUUCAACCAUCUUCAUAUGUCAUCAGUGAACAGGCAUAUUUUAUUCCGCCUAUGAGGGGACCCAGGAUCGCUGUAUCUGUUCUAAUACAUUCCGCUAAUGGCUCUACUGCUAGGAUUUGCAGGAAAUACAGGCACUAUGAAGUAUGAACACAGGGCCUAAUCGGAGAUGUAUGCAAACCCAACAGAAUGACAUCACAUUGUACUGGGGGCGAUGGGGGCGGAAGUGACCUGCUACUGCCCUGUCUGUCUCUGCAGAAUAAACUGUGUUUUCCACCUUAAAGAGCAUACAGUAUGUCGCUAUAUUAUCAAUACAAGUGAAGGUGUUUUUGUGUGAAGGGCGAUGUUGGAUAACCUUUGGAUGAAGACCAUUCAAAUAAAUAUCAAACCAGUUCCUAAUUUAAU